rnacentral:rRNA from 1 species
UAGCCGUAAACGAUACUCGCUAGGUGUCGGCCACGGUGCGACCGUUGUCGGUGCCGUAGGGAAGCCGUGAAGCGAGCCACCUGGGAAGUACGGCCGCAAGGCUGAAACUUAAAGGAAUUGGCGGGGAGGCACCACAACGGGUGGAGCUUGCGGUUUAAUUUGGAUUCAACGCCGGAAAUCUUACCGGGACCGACAGCAACAUGAAGGCCAGGCUGAAGACUUUGCCGGAUUAGCUGAGAGGUGGUGCAUGGCGUAGUCGUGU